GACGUAGGGCGCGAGCGUUGUCCGGAUUUAUUGGGCGUAAAGAGCUCGUAGGCGGCUCGUUGCGUCGGCUGUGAAAACCCGCAGCCCAACUGUGGGCUUGCAGCUGAUACGGGCGGGCUGGGAUUCGGUAGGGGAGACUGGAAUUCCUGGUGUAGCGGUGAAAUGCGCAGAUAUCAGGAGGAACACCGGUGGCGAAGGCGGGUCUCUGGGCCGAUAUCGACGCUGAGGAGCGAAAGCGUGGGGAGCGAACAGG
rnacentral:rRNA from 1 species